rnacentral:lncRNA from 1 species
GAAAUGCAGCAGCCACCUUGAUUUGGCUUUUCUUUAAAGAACUUUUUUUUUUAGCUUUGAAUGUUGUUUCUACGUUGUGGUAUUUUUUGUUUAUUUUUUUUUCUUUCUUUAUUAAAUGGUAAGCACAUUUUCUUGGAAGCGUUGCACAUUGAUGAAUCUUAGAAGCCUUUUAUUUUCUUUUCCUUUCCUUUGUUCUAGAAAAGCGUGAUCUCAUUUUAGCU